AGAGUUUGAUCAUGGCUCAGGACGAACGCUGGCGGCGUGCUUAACACAUGCAAGUCGAACGAUGAAGCCCAGCUUGCUGGGUGGAUUAGUGGCGAACGGGUGAGUAACACGUGAGUAACCUGCCCUUGACUCUGGGAUAAGCGCUGGAAACGGCGUCUAAUACCGGAUACGACCUGCCCCGGCAUCGGGUGUGGGUGGAAAGUUUUUCGGUCAAGGAUGGACUCGCGGCCUAUCAGCUUGUUGGUGAGGUAAUGGCUCACCAAGGCGACGACGGGUAGCCGGCCUGAGGGGGUGACCGGCCACACUGGGACUGAGACACGGCCCAGACUCCUACGGGAGGCAGCAGUGGGGAAUAUUGCACAAUGGGCGAAAGCCUGAUGCAGCAACGCCGCGUGGGGGAUGACGGCCUUCGGGUUGUAAACCUCUUUUAGUAGGGAAGAAGGACUUCGGUUUGACGGUACCUGCAGAAAAAGCACCGGCUAACUACGUGCCAGCAGCCGCGGUAAUACGUAGGGUGCAAGCGUUGUCCGGAAUUAUUGAGCGUAAAGAGCUCGUAGGCGGUUUGUCGCGUCUGCUGUGAAAACCCGAGGCUCAACCUCGGGCCUGCAGUGGGUACGGGCAGACUAGAGUGCGGUAGGGGAGAAUGGAAUUCCUGGUGUAGCGGUGGAAUGCGCAGAUAUCAGGAGGAACACCGAUGGCG
rnacentral:rRNA from 1 species